AAGUCGUAACAAGGUUUCCGUAGGUGAACCUGCGGAAGGAUCAUUCAUAAUUGAGUGUUUUAUGGCACUCUUUAAAAAAUCCAUAUCAACCUUGUGUGCAACGUUUUUAGACACCCUGGCGCUGAUAUCUCUUUUAAGAGAAGGAAAGCCAGGAUGUUUGAUUAACUUAACUCAACUCCUUUAAAACAGUUUGUCUGAAUACCUAUUUCUGAAUAACAUAAUUCAAAAAUACAACUUUCAACAACGGAUCUCUUGGCUCUC
rnacentral:misc_RNA from 1 species